CUGCUCUCUCUCUCUCUCUCUCUCUCUCUCUCUCUCUCUCUCUCUCUCUCUCUCUCUCUCUCUCUCUCUCUCUCUCUCUCUCUCUCUCUCUCUCUCUCUGUACUACGUGGUUAUCUCAGGUAUCUCUCGCGUUAUCUUCACACCGAGACUUAUGAUAACAAUGUACAGUCCCCUUACGCUUUAAAGGUAGACUGUGGCAGACUGCUCCGGCUCUUGUGUGUGUGUGCGUGUGCGUGUGUGUGUAUGUGUGCGUGUGCGUGUAUGUGUGCGUGUGCGUGUGCGUGGCGGAGGCCGGAGCAGGGCACAGGCUUUUUUCAUUAUUGUUGGAGGUUUGUUUUGGUUGGUGAGAUAUGAAGUUUUCUUUUGUUGCCUCAACAGGGGGAAAUUAAGUCCUGGGAGAGGCGGCAGUGGAAGGUGUGUGUGUGUGUGUGUGUGUGUGUGUGUGUGUGUGUGUGUGUGUGUGUGUGUGUGUGUGUGUGUGUCUGUGUGUCUGUGUUCUUUGUCCUCGUCGUCAAUCCCCGCCACUCUGUGUGCACGACAGCAGCAGGGAUUGGCCGAGUUGUACACACAUUCUGACUCGAUUAUCACGAUAAUUUCGAAAUUCUCCUGGCGGGUAAUAUUUAGACUCCACUGUUUGCUCGGAGACAAGCGUGCCGUGCCUCCUGUAUUGUCUCCCGCUCCUGUCGAGGCAGUAUUGUUUGCUUGGCGACUCCUACUCCCUGCCUGCCCUCUCCUACAGUGGCACCCUCUUCUCCCUGCACCAUUCCACCGUCCCCUGCCUCUUCCCCUUCACCGUAGCUCACUCCUAUGCUCCCUGCCGACUUCCUUCCCCCCCCUACAGUGGCACCCUCUUUGCCAGGGUUCGCGCAGGAUGGCUGGCACCAGGAAGGGAAGGAGAGGAGAGAGGAGGAUGGGGGGGAGGAGGCAGCGGUAGAGGCGCGGGUGGACGUCGGAGCCAGUGAGCGUUGGGCAGUGUGAGGAGGCGGGCGCGCGGCACCAACACACGCACACGUCUGAAAGUCCUCGUCACGCACACCUGUUUGGGCCGCGUGUUCUCUUCUCUUCCCAGAAAACUUAUCUAUUACCCGUUUGGUCUGGGAAGUAAUUGCCUUUAUACCUCGUGUGAACCUGCGAGUGUACCGUGGAGGGCGAGGAGCCGCCGGGAAGACACUCCGGCCCUGCGUCAGGAAAAUCAUGCUAAAGUCGUGGCUAUCCAGGUAAAAAGAUCGUGACGGACACAACGAAUUAGUGUUCACUGCAUGUACCGGCGAUGGUGUGAGGGUGUAGAUCACAGUGUUACGAGGGUGACUGGAGUGUGAACCUUUAAUAUCGUGAAGAAAAAAGUGUUUGAAGUGUGUAUCCUGAGUGGAGUGUGACGCAUCAGAGGGGAUCAGAACCUGUAUCCCUGACCAUCGGAUCCCCGUCAGACCCAGACAUGGGGUUAUGAGGAUGUGAGCGACCCGGCAGCUUGUAAGAGCCAGACGACCUAGUGGGAUCCUAAGCUUUGGGUCUCACAGCGCCUCCCUCUCAGACCUUCAUACUCAGGCCAGGUCUCAGCACACACGAGGCAGCAUGGAGGGCGGCGUGUACGACAACAUCAGCUGCGUGCAGGAGCUGGCUAUCAAGGUAAGAAUGCCAGGUCUCGUUAGCAGCAAGUAACGUGAGUCUCCAUCGGUCUCCUCUCGUCUAUUACAAAGGGGGAGACACCUGCCUUGUUAGCUACAGGUAAUUGGAGCUUAGCAGUCCCUCGCUUCCCAUAGCACAGCGUGAGUCUCGCCUAUGCAGUAAAGGCUCAGGUGACUCACUGUUCGUGUUAUCUAUUAUUACU